rnacentral:lncRNA from 1 species
CGGCCUCAUAUCUUGACUUACAUCUAGAAAUUGACAAUGAGGGUCGGUUGAAAACAAAACUUUACGACAAAAGAGAUGAUUUCAGCUUUCCAAUUGUGAACUUUCCAUUUCUAAGUAGCAACAUUCCAGCAGCACCUGCAUACGGGGUAUAUAUCUCCCAAUUGAUACAAUAUUCCUGUGCUUGCAUUUCCUAUCAUGAUUUUCUUGAUAGAGGGUUGCUCUCAAGGAAGCUAUUAAACCAAGAGUUCCAAAUAAUGAAGUUGAAAUCAUCCCUUCGUAAAUUUUAUGGACGCCAUCACGAGUUGGUUGACCGUUAUGGAAUAACCAUUUCACAAAUGAUAUCGGAUAUGUUCCUUACGUCGUAACUACAAUCCCCUUCCCUUUCAUGAAUGUGACCUACCGAAUUAGAUUAUUUACCGUAUUUGUUAUCACAUAAGCAACACGACGGGUGCUACAUGUGAAGCAGAAUCUGCUUACCCUUCCGGAGCACCUGAGAUCACCCCUAGUUUUUUGGUGGGGUUCGUGUUGUUUAUUCUUUAGUUUUCUAAGUUGUGUUGUGUGUGCUGUUGUUUGUUUGUCUUUUUCAUUUUUAGCCAUGGCGUUGUCAGUUUGUUUUAGAUUUAUGAGUUUGACUGUCCCUUUGGUAUCUUUCGUCCCUCUUUUAGACCCUUUAGACCUCAAUGUGGACCAAUUUGAUAACCCGGCCCAAAUAUUAAAAAUCUAAAUACAUGGUUAGAUUCAGCAUAUCAAAGAACCCCAUUUAUUCAUUUUUUGAUGAAAUCAAACAAAGUUUAAUUUUGGACCCUUA